AACGCACGAGACCUGCGGACCUGCGGAAGGAUCAUUACCGAGUUUACAACUCCCAAACCCAUGUGAACAUACCUACUGUUGCUUCGGCGGGAUUGCCCCGGGCGCCUCGUGUGCCCCGGAUCAGGCGCCCGCCUAGGAAACUUAACUCUUGUUUUAUUUUGGAAUCUUCUGAGUAGUUUUUACAAAUAAAUAAAAACUUUUAACAACGGAUCUCU
rnacentral:misc_RNA from 1 species